CAGACAGCGACAGUUCCCAGGGCUCGGAUGAGUCUCUCACAAAACCUAGAGUGUGAGGCAGCUGCCCAGCUGGGUUUCCUCUCAACCAAAAGUUGUGACUCAAGAACUGCUGAUUCUCCUUCUGCCCUGGGACCUGAGUGUGUCUGUGUCCUGUCACACUCUGUGAUGGGGGAGACUGACCCACCCCUGCCCACCGGGCCCUCCACACUGACCUGCGUUCUCUUCCCUGAUGCUCUGGGCUGUGCCAGCAGAGACAGGACUCAGACGUUUCCAUCUGUGUUAGCUUCUUGUUUCCCUGAAUAAUGUUUCUCCCUUACUGAAAUCAGCAUCUGAUUUGCAUUUUUCUAAUUCCUGUUUUGUGGGGUUGAGGGUUAAUAAAGGAAAUCCCUGAAAUUUGAGAAGAAAAAAAAUAAAAUCUUGAGACCUUC